rnacentral:lncRNA from 1 species
CACUAUCUUACAUUGUUGUACCGAACUCUUAGUUGAUGUGACACCCCCAAAUCUUGGUACUUCAUUCCCCUAAGACUUGGUGUUCACUUUCCAUACAUUCAUACUAUCUACCCAAAUAAAAUAACAUUUAAACCAUAAAUUCUCCCUUUAAAAGGGUUACAUCAUUAAAUCCAAAAAAAUAUCCCAGGUUAUCUAACCUUUAAAUACAAUCAUUCAAAUGCGAAAAAUUAAAUAUCAUCAUUACAUCGAUAAAAUAAAGUCUGACAACAGAAAUGUCAACAUGAAUACAAGUCUUCAAUACUUCUUCAUCGAUCCAUUUCCUUUACUCGUGCUAGGUACAUCAACCUUCUCAACUUUAACUGUAAUUUUUAUUUAAGCAAGAGUGAGCAAACAUAGCUCACUUAAGAUGAUAAUGAAUAAAACUUUACAUCCACUUCCAAAUAUUAGGCACCAUGGAACUGAACAAAAUGUUUUAUCAAUGAUAAUCAGAAUCAUAAAAUAUCUAACUGAGGGUCAUAAGACCACGAAAAAUGUCCAUAGUUAUAAGUAAUCUUUCAACUUAAACUUUAACAGUCAUAAGACUAUAGGGUCUCCUCAUACUUAGGGGGAUCAACCAUUCGUACAAUGUAUUGUGCACAAACAUUUUAACGUUGUGCGUAAGUUAUCCCCUAACAAUAGGGUUGUUCAUCUCAGCAUUUAGAAUACGAGUCCACACCAAAGUAAGUUUGGUUUGGAUAAGUUUCAAGGUAAUUUGGAAUUCAACGAACAACAACUACGGAGUAGUUGAAUAAAAAGGUACUAACUUUAUGUUAUGGAGUAAAUCAUAACGGAAUUAACAUUGAAUACUAAUGUCAUACUUUAGGAAUAAUCUAAGAGCAUAAACAUUGAAUAAUUAUAACAUACCUUGCUUGAACAAUAUUAAGCCAAGAUUAUUUAGAAUUGAGUACUAAGCAUGCAUAACAAAUAAUAAAGUGAACGAUAAAACUUGAUCAACAUUAGUAUAUCAGAAUAUAUAAACUUGCAUUCUAAAUAACAAGUUAAAGACAAAAAUAACUUGCUCAAUAAUAACAAGGUAGAGUAAGAAACUUGCUCAAUGAAAAUGUAGAGUUAGAACACUUGCCAUAAUGCGAAUGUUCAAUAAUAAUAUUAGAUGUGGAAUCAUCAACAAUAAUUAUCCACUAACGUGCUUGAAAAUUAACAACUCGAGUUUGAGUUAGAGAACUUGUCUUGCUUGUAGGCUAAAUCGUAAUAGUUUGAUUCACAAUAUCCUAAUUACAUAUCAUUAGGAUACAAUUAGUCGUUACAAAUAUUCUAUAAGUAUUUAUUUCACGUAUGAUUUGAUUGUUAACCAUAUAGUCAAAUUACAUCAAUAAAUUAAUAAUAAAACUUGUUAGGUGUUAAUAACAUGCUUGUUCUUAGCACUAUAAUACCAUAAUAACAAAAUUAGAUGUUUAACAGUCAUCAUAUUGCAUUACAUUAACAAUUACAGACUUUUGUGCAAAACAAAAGUCAUUCCUGGACCUACUGCUAACCGGCGCUAGGGUGCCAAAGUUUGCACUGUGGACCGCGCUGUGGCACGGUGAUGGCGCUGCAGAGCAAAGCCCAGACCACUAGCCGGCGCUGCAGCGCGAAAGUCGAGCUUUGGCUCUGACUUUGGCGCUAAGGCGCGAAGUUUAGAGCUGUUGCACUGAUUUUGGCACUGAGGCGUCGAAACAAACAGAACCCAACAUGAAGAACAAAACAACUAAAUUCUGAACUGAUUAACACUACUAACAUCUAAAUUAAGACGCAUAACUUACAUAGAUUACUCAUAAACAUUACCAAGCAUACAUAUACUAAUUUAAAACAACUACACAAUAACUUUUGAAAGACCAAAUCUUUGAAUGCCAUAUUUUCAAUUAAAACUCCAUUUUUGACAAAAUUAACAUUGUAAUCCCAAAAGGAAAUGACCUAUGUAUACAUAUAUGAUAGUUAUCCUAUUACAACCACAUAUGCACAUGAUUUCAUCACCCAUUAUAAAAAAAAUAUGGAUUUUAGACAAUUUUUGUAAAGAAUUUUGUACUACAAUCAAGAACACAGAGAACGUAAAACGUAUAUAGUGUUAAGCUUAUGGGAAAAUACCUUUUGUUUCUUUGAAAAUCCUUUCACUGAGAAUCGCUUGAACACUCAGAACUUGCUUUGAAAUCCUAGUCUUUUCUCUCUCAAACUCUCUCAAAUUCUCUGACAACUUUUCUUCUCUGAAAACCCUUUUCUUUUCUUUUCUUUUCUUUUCUUAGGCUUAAGCCAAUUAUUUUCCACGUAUAAACAAAUACACCCAACGCCUACAACCCAAACGUACGAAACUACCAUAUACUUAAUAUAAUAAUAAUUACAUGUCAAUUAUAACAUAUUUAAUAUAUAUUAUUUAUAUUUUAAUUAUUUUAUUUAUAUUAUUAUAAUUCAAAAUUCAAAAAUCCAAAAGCCAUAAGGCUCCAUUUGGCAAAACCCUUUAAAAAUUAAAGACUUAAUAUAUUUAAGCUUUGUUUGGCAAAACUAAAUUAAACUCCUUUAAUUUUUAAUAACUCCUUUAUAAUAUAGUUAUUUGUCACACUUUACUUAAUGAAGUUUUCAUUCUUAAUUUAAUUAAUUCUAAUAACAAUUUAUUGAAUAAAUAAUUUAAUCAUUAUACACUCUCUAACUUAAUUAUUAGAUUAAAUUAGAAUAUUAUCUCAUAAUAAUUAAUUUCCUUAGCCCAUUAAUUAUUUAUUAAACAAAUAAUUAACCAAAUCAAAUCAAAUCAAAUUAAACAAAUAGUAAUUCAACAAUAAACACAUUCAUUAAAUAUUUAUAUAAUUCAAUAAAUAUUUAAAAAUUAUAAUUAAAAUUCUGGAUUGUUACAUCCUUCCCUCCUUACAACGAUUAUGUCCCCAGAAUCACAACUCAAACAAAUUAUUCGUCACACUCUUCCCUCCUUACAAAGAUUUUGUCCCCAAAAUUGAAGACAUAGAUUAAACAAAUAACUCAGGGUAAUUCUUCAUCAUUUCAACUUUGAGUUCCCUCGUAGCCUCUUCGACAUUGUGGUUCCUCCAUACUACCUUCAUAGAAGGUAUCACCUUAUUCCUGAGCACUUGCUCUUUCUUGUCGACUAUCUGGAUAGGAACUUCUUCAUAAGACAAGUCUUUAUCAAACUGCAUUGGUUCGUACUCGAUCACGUGCUUGUAAUCGGGUUUAUACGGUCGUAACGUCGAAACAUAAAAAAUAUUGUGAACGUUUUCUAACUCUGGAGGUAGAGCUACCUCAUAAGCCACAUCUCCUACUUUUCACAGCACCUCGAAAGCUCCAAUAAAUCUUGACCUAAGCUUUCCCUUUUUACCGAAAUGAAUUUUUCACUUCCAAGGAGAAACUUUUAAGAACACGAAAUUUCCUACGUUGAACUCUCGAUCUUAUCUGUGUUGGUCAGCAUACUUCUUCUGUCUGUCUUGAGUAGCUACCAAUCUUGUCCUGAUGAGUUUAACAACCUCAGCAGUUUAUUAUACUAGUUCUGGUCCUAAUAGUUGGCGUUCACCAACUUCAUCCCAGCAUAGUGGAGUUCUGCACUUUCUGCCAUAUAAUGCUUCGUAAGGAGACAUGCCGAUACUCACGUGGUAACUAUUAUUGUAGGAAAAUUCUACCAAUGGUAAAUGUUCAUCCUAGCUCCCUUUGAAGUCUAUGAUGCAUGCUCUCAGCAUAUCUUCCAAUGUCUGAAUUGUUCGUUCGCUUUGGCCAUCUACUUGCGGAUGAUAAGCCGUACUCAUUCUUAACUUUGUUCCCAUACAUUCUUGUAGUCUCUUCCAGAAGUUUGACGUGAAUCGCGGAUCUCUAUCUGAUAUAAUUGACACUGGAACUCCAUAUCUCAAAAUGAUUUCUUUAACGUACAACUUUGCCAACUGAUCAAGAUUGAAUCUAAUCUUUAUUGGCAAAAAGUGUGCUGAUUUUUUUAGUCUGUCCACUAUAACCCAAAUCGCAUCGCAUCCUCUCUGAGUUAUUGGAAGACCCACCACAAAAUCCAUAGUGAUGUGUUCCUAUUUAUAUUCUGGUAUUUCCAACGGUUGAAGUACUCCACUUGGUCGUUGAUGCUCGGCCUUGACUCUUUGACAUGUCAAGCAUUUCGCAACACAUUCUGCGACCUCUCUUUUCAUGUUUGGCCACCAAAAGUGUCAUCGUAAAUCUUAAUACAUCUUCGUACUUCCUGGGUGAAUCGAGUAUCUUGAGUUAUGAGCUUCGGUCAAGAUUUUGUCUUUAAUCUCUGGUGCAGCUGGAACCUAAAUUCUUCCCUCGAAUCUUAGCAUUCCUUCAGUAUCAACCUUAUACUUCACCUCUUUACCCUUGACCACACUUUCCUUUAUUUUUCUGCAUUCUUCAUCUUGUAGUUGAGCCUUCUUCACCUUGUCCACUAAAGUUGGACCAGCUUCUAUCUGGAAUAGUCAUUCAUCAAAUAGUCAUUCAUCGAAUUCUUUUGGAAAUUUUAUUUUUAACUCUAGCUUUGUCAUUACUGAAAUAAGUUCCUCCUGAGUGGUUAUCAGCAUCAACUUUUCCAGACCUUUCCUACUUAGAGCAUCUGCAACCACAUUUUCUUUGCCUGGAUGAUAUAAGAUCUCGCAAUCAUAAUCUUUUAUCAAUUCCAUCCAUCUUCUUUGACGCAUGUUCAGGUCCUUCUAUGUGAAAAUAUACUUCAGACUCUUAUGGUCUGUGUAAAUCUCACAUUUCUCUCCAUAUAGAUAGUGUCUCCAUAUCUUCAGAGCAAAUACCACUGUAGCCAAUUCCAAAUCAUGAGUCAGAUAUCCCUUUUUAUAGUCCCUCAGUUGUCUUGAUGCAUAAGCAAUAACUUUUUCAUUCUGCAUAAGAACACAACCCUAUCCUUUAUGUGAGGCAUCACUAUACACCACAAAGUUUCCUGUACUAUCUGGUAACGAAAACACAGGUGCCACACUUAACUUCUUUUUCAAUUCUUGAAAACUUUCUUCACACUUCUCCAUCUAAAUAAAUUUUAUAACUUUCCUUAUCAAAUUUGUUAACGGAGUGGCAAUCUUGGAAAAGUCUUGAAUAAACCGUCUAUAAUAGCCGGCCAGUCCUAAGAAACUCCUCACCUCCGAAGGUGUCCUUGGUUGUUCCCGAUUGAUUACAGCUUCCACUUUUGAUGGAUCCACUAAAAUCCCAUCUUUGUCAAUCACAUGCCCAAGAAAUUGUACAAGUUCUAGCCAAAACUCACACUUAGAGAAUUUUGCGUACAGUUUUUCCUUUCUUAGUGUCUCCAACGUCAAACAUAAAUGUUCCACGUGUUCUUCUUGAGAUUUUGAAUACACCAACAUAUCAUCAAUGAAUACCACCACAAAGUUAUCUAGGAAUGGUUUAAACACUAUUCUCAUCAUAUCCAUGAACGUUGCAUGGGCGUUUGUCAAUCCGAAAGACAUCACCAGAAACUCAUAAUGUUCAUACCGAGUUUGGAAUGCCAUCUUCGGUACAUCCUCCUUCCUUACUUUCAGUUGAUGAUACCCACUUCUCAAAUCUAUUUUCGAGAAAUAUCUAUCACCCUUCAAUUGAUCAAACAAGUCAUCUAUUCUUGGCAAUGGAUAUUUAGUCUUAAUAGUGACUUUGUUUAAUUCCCUAAAAUCAAUGCAAAGCCGCAUUGACCCAUCCUUCUUCUUCACGAAUAACACAGGUGCUCCCCACGGUGACACACUCGACUGAAUGUACUCUUAUCUAACAAUUCUUGUAGUUGUACUAUCAGUUCCUUUAUCUCUACCAGAGCCAUUCUGUAUGGGGCCUUCGAUAUUGGAGCGGUUCCUGGCGCUAGGUCGAUCACGAACUCAAUCUCUCGAUCAGGCGGAAGUCCUGGAAAAUCUUCUGGAAACACAUCCAUGAAUUCGCGAACCACUGGUAUCUCUUCCAGUUUCACCCCCUUCCUCUGAGUAUCGAUUAUAUAAGCUAAAUAACCCACACAACCUUGACUCAACAACUUCUUGGCCUGCAUAAUCGUUAGACAUCUCGCAUAUCUAGGCGAUCUGCUACCAAAGAAAACUACCUUUAACGGAGUCAUAAGGGUUACACAUUUCUUUUGGCAAUCAAUUAUCGCUCCAUAAUUGAACAACCAAUCCAUUCCCAAAAUAACAUCAAACUCUCCGAGUUUUAUCGGAAUUAAAUCUACCAUCAUAACAUUUCCGUUAAUGUUCACCCUACAAUUCUUUUAUAUGAACCUAACAUGAAUUACCUCCCUAUUCGUAAUUUCUAUAUUUAAAGGAAAAUUCAAUUCUUCGCUAGGCAACCCUAACCUCUUAGCAAAUUCAUCAAAUAUAAAUGAGCAAGUAGCACCCGAAUCAAAUAAUACAUAAGCAUCAAUAUCAUUAAUUAGGAUAAUACCUGACACCACAUCUUUCGAUUGCACUGCAUCCUGCACCAUCAUAUUGAAUGUUCUGGUUGUGGGUCUGUUGGAUGACAUUGGUCCCGUAAUGGUCAAUGUGCCUCCACUGCUACCUCCCUUAUUUCCCGUCGUCUCUUCAGCUUUCUUCUUAGGGAACUCAUGAGCAAAAUGAUCCUUUGACCCGUACUUGUAGCAAACAUUCUUCUUGGGUUGACUGCAAUUUGGGGCAAUGUGACCUUCCUGGCCACAGUUAACGCAUACACGCUUCCCCCUUAAGCAUACACCUACGUCAAAAUUCCUUCAUGUAGCACAUUCUUCGAACUUCUUCUUCUGCUGAUUACCCUACUAGUUUCCUGAACCCACAUUUCUAUUCCAUUUCCUCUUCUGAUUAUUGCUACCAUUUCCACAGUUACUACCACCAUUCCUAACUUCUCCGUCAUUCUUCUUAUUUCUCUGCUCAUGGUUGUGCUUUGUUAUAGCCUCGCCUCCACUCUCAACGAGAAUUGCCUUCUCAAGCACCGCUGCGAAUGGCUUCAGCUGGAAAAGGGAGACCCUACUGUAUAACCAUGGUUUUAGUCCCUGCUCAAACCUCCUAGCCUUGCGCUCAUCUGUGUUGACUUGAUAUGGCGCAAACCUCGCUAGCUCAUUGAAUUUUGCGGCAUAUUCUGACACCGUCAUUGUUCCCUGCUUCAGCUCCAGAAACUGCACCUCCAUCUGAUUCUUUGAACUCUCUGGGAAAUAGGUCUCGAAGAAUAUUUCCUUAAACCUAUCCCAUGUCAUCACCCCUUGUCCUCCUCGAGUUUUAUUGGCUUGCCACCAAUAACUAGCAUCUGCUUUAAACAUAAAUGUUGCAAAAGCAGUCUUCUAAUUCUCACCUACUCUAGCUACCUCAAAUAUUUUCUCUAUCUCCAUGAUCCAGGUCUGUGCCUCAACUGGAUUCAUGGACCCACGGAAUUCUAGUGGUCCAACCGCCUUGAAGUGCUUAAAUGUCACAGCUUGAUUCUGGGGUUGAUUCUGUAAUGCACCUGCCAGUAACGUCAUGAAUUACUGAACUGGAUUAGACUCAACAUUGUUGUUAUUCUCAGGGGUCCUUUGUCGGGGUUGACGUCUUGGAGGCAUUUUCUGUUAAAAUACACCCAUUAGAUUCUAUUCAACCUUUUAAGUAUUUAUUACUUAAUUUGCACACUAUAAAAGAUUAUCACAUAACACUUUGAAUAAAAUAAUAACUUUUAUUCAUUCGUAAUCUUUUAGGAAACAUAAGAAAAAUAGCAUCUCUGCUAUUUACAUUACUUUCCUUAACCACUAAAGUUCCAGGAUAACAUCAUCAUCAUAUCCCAUAGGUUACAUAACACUUGGGACUUAUAUUUAUUUAUCAUAACAUUAAUCACAUAUCGAGUACAUUCCCUACGAUGUCCUACUAAGAUACCGUGUGGCCUAACGAUGCUCUGCCUCCAUAAUUUAGAACAUUAUUCGGCGAUCUAAUAUGUGUGAUAGAAGUGUCUCGAACUAAAUCGGAUAACCCAUGACCCGAUCUUGAGCUCGAUUAAUAACGGUGUUGAAUACGUUAUUCAUCUCUUCCAUCUUGAUCCUCUUUGCUUGUGCCUCGCUCUCUGCUAUCCCGGCUCGUUGAUAAGCUUCUUCGUACACGUUUUUGGCUCUUGCCCUCUUAGUUCUUCAGUUCUGCAAUUUCCUCUGUCAGUUGCUCAUUUUCUCCUUCGGUGUGGAUCAUCUUCUCUUCAACAUUACUCAAGCAUUCAUCUCGAUCCUGGAUCUCGUUGUCCUUCUGUGCCAUUGCGAACAGAUGUUCAGCUACUAUCUCUUGCAACUCCCGACGCUAUCCUAAAGUUCCACAUUAUGGUCGUAUACUUCGUUGUACAUACGGGCAGCGAUCGAGUUAAGUGGAAUCUCUUCCUCCUCAUCCUCCUCAUCCUCAUCCGACUGUGGCAGCUCAACGGGGUCCUCCUCGUCCAUCUCUAUCUCAUCAUCCUUAUCAGGUAAUGUGGCGACCCCAAAUCCGGAUACUUGAAACCCGAACUCGGUUCUCCACGAUACCAUUUCUUUAAGCUGAAUAAUACUAAAUAAUAAUAUAAUUCGAACUUAAUUUACAUACAUCAAAGUUUACUUUCCCAGGUACGUGACCUUCAAANNNNNNNNNNNNNNNNNNNNNNNNNNNNNNNNNNNNNNNNNNNNNNNNNNNNNNNNNNNNNNNNNNNNNNNNNNNNNNNNNNNNNNNNNNNNNNNNNNNNNNNNNNNNNNNNNNNNNNNNNNNNNNNNNNNNNNNNNNNNNNNNNNNNNNNNNNNNNNNNNNNNNNNNNNNNNNNNNNNNNNNNNNNNNNNNNNNNNNNNNNNNNNNNNNNNNNNNNNNNNNNNNNNNNNNNNNNNNNNNNNNNNNNNNNNNNNNNNNNNNNNNNNNNNNNNNNNNNNNNNNNNNNNNNNNNNNNNNNNNNNNNNNNNNNNNNNNNNNNNNNNNNNNNNNNNNNNNNNNNNNNNNNNNNNNNNNNNNNNNNNNNNNNNNNNNNNNNNNNNNNNNNNNNNNNNNNNNNNNNNNNNNNNNNNNNNNNNNNNNNNNNNNNNNNNNNNNNNNNNNNNNNNNNNNNNNNNNNNNNNNNNNNNNNNNNNNNNNNNNNNNNNNNNNNNNNNNNNGUUUUUCAUUUUCGAAAAGGUUUAGCAGAAAUUCAUCCGCAAACCGUCAUAACUUACGGGCACGGAGGGUGAUCAGCCCCGUUGUACCCUGUAUUGAUCAAUACUACAUAACUUGAACGAAAUUCAUCGCUCACCCUUUGUCCGCCGAAGCGCAUAAAAAUUUUCCCAUUAUCGGGAUGUUCAUACAUGCCUGGUUCCAAACCCGAAGGUUUUUAAUCUUGCUUGGGACACUUGUAAUUUAACAUAUAUAUAUAUACGGGUAAUUGACAAAGGUGUAUCAACAUGUGAAUAAAUGCCAUGAUUAUCCAAGUGGGGACACUUGUAUAACCAUUUAGAAAUCAACUUAACAGAAUAUAUAUCUGAGCUAACAUGUUGAUAAUCAAAGCGUACAUAAUCUGUACAGGAAUAGAAUAAUUCUGAAACUUCUUACUCAUGUCCAUUGCAUAAAGGAAAUGCAAAGGUAAGAUACUUGCCUGAUUUGCUGAUUACAAAUCUCAACUUAGGUUUUAUCUCUUUAUCACAACCUAUCAAUAAUCAGAUCAUUCGUUCGAUUAGAACAAUAUAUCAUAACACAUAGUACUGUCUAUUACAGUCAGCACAUAGUCUAAUCACGUCAUCACAUAAUCGCAGUGAUCAUACUUUUAGUUCAUAUUCUAUACUUGAAAUAUUUUUAUACAUUUUUCAAAUAUCUCAUCCAUGCUCUUACAGAAGUCUUUUCUUUCUAUUAUAGGGUCUGACAUUUGUCGGCGUACCGACAGCUUUAUCGGGUAAAUACUGAGUCUAAGACUCUUAUCCUAUACCUCAACAUCUGUAAAUAUCAAACAUUUUAUUUUUAAUCAUUUUCGAAUUUUCCAGAAAUUGAAAAAUUUAAAAUAAUUCAAAUCUGUCACUACCGGGCCUAUAGUGAUAUAACUGUUACUAUAGGUGUUCCUCAAAACUUCAUAACUUCAUAAUCGGUUCUCAAGUCAGCUAGUUUGGCCGGCUAUAACUUUCAAACAUCGGAAUCAUAAUUAAAUGAUUUAAACAUUAAACAAUUCCAUUAUCAUUAAUAAUUAAUUUAUAUUAAACUAUUAAUGAAACCAUUGCCAAAAUAUAAAAGUUAUUUAUAAUAACUCAAACUAUUUUUAAAACAUUUAUAUUACCCUUAAAUGAUUUUUAAAACAAUUAAAAUCAUUUUUAAAUAAUCACCAUUAAUAUAUAAAUAUUAAUGUACUAUUCAUCCAAAUAUUAAAAGUCAUUAAUUAUAACUUAAAAUAUUUUUAAAUCCUUAAUAUCCUCUUUAAAUGAUUUUUAAAUAAAUAAAACCAUUUUUAAACUAUUUAUUUAAUAAUAAUUAUUAAAUAAACUAAAUAUCAUUAAUAUUAUCUUAAUAUCAUUAAUAUUAAAUUAUUAAUGAAAUUAUCCUUUAAAUAUUAAAAGUUAUAUUUUAUAACUUAAAAUAUUUUUAAAUACCUUAAUUUCAUUUAAAAUGAUUUUUAUAAUAUUAAAAUCAUUUUUAAACUAAAUUAUUUAAUAUAAUCAUUAAAUAACUUUAAUAUCAUUAAUAUAUAAUUAAUUAAUGAAAUUCAUCACAAAAUAUUAAAAGUCAUGGGAAAUAACUUAAAAUAUUUUCUUAUACCAUAAUAUAAUUUUUCAUGAUUUUUCAUGAAUUAAAACUAUUUUUAAAUCAUUUAUUUAAUAUUAUAAUUAAAUAAAUAAAUACCUUUUAUAUUCCAAAAAUAUUAAAUAUUUAUGAAAUAUACUCAAAAUAAUUAAAAACUAUUUUUCAGACUUUAAAAUAAUUUUUCAUAAUUUAUUUGGUAUUUUUAAUAAUUAAAAUCUAAUUUUUCUAAUUUUUAAAUCAUUUUUCGGAAAAUCAGAAAUUAAAAUAAUUAAAACUGUCGCUAAAGGCCCCUAUAGUGACAGAAGUGUCGCUAUAGGUGUUCUUGAGCCUACCCAGAUCUUCAUAAGGCAGAACCGAGUGGCCUACUUUGACCGUGAAUAACUCUCUCAUCUUAACGAAUUUGGACAAUCUAUAAAUUGGGUCUUGUAGAGGAAAUACAAGACUACAAGAUCCAACAAUCAUAACCUCUAAACAAACAUCAGAUCUGGGAUAAAUCAGCCAUCAAAGUAGCUACCAAAGCUGUUCUUCACGAAGAACAGUUCGAGGUGCCUACUUUGGACCUCUAUAACUUGAUGAUCGUGUAACGUUUAUGUGAUCUAUCAAUUCCAGUGUGUAGACAACAUGUAGGACUACAACUCCAACACUUAACAUCAUCAUAACAACAAUAAAUCAAGCAUCUAAAGUAUGGUCAAACCUUGUAAGAAAAAUCAACACUUAGAAAAUUCUGGGCUGCCCAAAAUUUUCCGGUCAAUGCCGGUCAACCCAGUUUGACCUUAAAUAACUCUUAAUCCAUAAUAUAUAUGGACCUGAUUCGUUUUGGAGGUUAAAUACCACAUAACAAGAUACACAUAAAAACCUUUAGAACACAAAAAAAAUUAAAGAUAACCGAGAUAUAAGGCCUGACAUUUGCCAAAAAAAUAUUUUCUUGACACUUAGAAUAUUUUCUGGGUUUGAAGAACAGUCGGUCAAUGCCGGUCAACCAACUUUGACCACUUAUAAAUCCCGAUCUACAAUAGCUAUGAACUUUAUUCCUUUUGGAGAGAAAAGACCACAUAUCAGGCUACCUAUAACAACUUUUAAACAGCAAAACUCGAGAUCGACCAAAGAGUUAUAGCCUCUGACAUUUGGUGAAAAAUAACAGAAUUCGGUUUUUCCAACUUGCUCAAAUCUUCAAAUUCGUGCACUUUGAUGUUAUGGGUGUGUGUUUUUACAACCCAGAACAUUAAUAGACUCCCUAUUACACUACUUUAAACAAUCAAUUGCAUCAAUUAACAUCGAAUCGAAGGAUUUCAAAAUUAGAGAAUUUCAUACCUUUUCUAGCUUCGAUUUUUGAUUUUUUUGGCUUUGAUGCUUCUGAUUUGUUGUUUGUGAUGGUUGGGCUUUGUUUAGGGACUGAUAUGCUAGAUAAUUUCGUUGGCUAGAGGUUGAGAGAGUUUGUCUAGAGAGUUUGUGAAAUUUUAGUGUGUAUUUUCAUUAACUCUCCUUGAU